rnacentral:rRNA from 1 species
UACGUAGGGUGCAAGCGUUGUCCGGAAUUAUUGGGCGUAAAGAGCGUGUAGGCGGCUUGAUUAGUCUGCUGUGAAAGUCCAGGGCUCAACCCUGGAAUGCCGGUGGAUACUGUCAAGCUAGAGUCCGGAAGGGGCGAGUAGAAUUCCUGGUGUAGCGGUGAAAUGCGCAGAUAUCAGGAGGAACACCAAUGGCGAAGGCAGCUCGCUGGGACGGUACUGACGCUGAGACGCGAAAGCGUGGGGAGCAAACAGG